AACGAACGCUGGCGGCAGGCCUAACACAUGCAAGUCGAACGAAGUCUUCGGACUUAGUGGCGCACGGGUGAGUAACACGUGGGAAUAUACCAUACGCUGGGGGAUAACAUCGGGAAACUGAUGCUAAUACCGCAUACGCCCUUCGGGGGAAAGAUUUAUCGGCGAAAGAUUAGCCCGCGUCCGAUUAGCUAGUUGGUGAGGUAAUGGCUCACCAAGGCUCCGAUCGGUAGCUGGUCUGAGAGGAUGACCAGCCACACUGGGACUGAGACACGGCCCAGACUCCUACGGGAGGCAGCAGUGGGGAAUAUUGGACAAUGGGCGCAAGCCUGAUCCAGCCAGGCCGCGUGAGUGAUGAAGGCCUUAGGGUUGUAAAGCUCUUUCACCCACGACGAUGAUGACGGUAGUGGGAGAAGAAGCCCCGGCUAACUUCGUG
rnacentral:rRNA from 1 species